rnacentral:lncRNA from 1 species
GAAUCGGAAGUGGCUGCGUCGUCGACGCUGGGCUUUCGGGUCCCGCGCCCAAGAUGGGCUCCAAGGCAAAGAAGCGCGUGCUGCUGCCCACCCGCCCAGCGCCCCCCACGGUGGAGCAGAUCCUGGAGGAUGUGCGGGGUGCGCCGGCAGAGGAUCCAGUGUUCACCAUCCUGGCCCCGGAAGCUGGAGUGCAGUGGCGAGAUCUCGACUCACUGCAGGCUCCGACUCCCCAGUUCAAGCGAU